CCUUUACAAUGCACGAAAGUGUGAUAAGGGAAUCCGAAGUGCUCACGUUUUGCGUGGGCUUUUAUAGAGGCUAAAUCCCUUUAUGAAUAAGUGGUGGGCAAGACUGGUGCCAGCAGCCGCGGUAACACCAGCGCCACAAGUGGCAAUCGCAUAUUGGGCCUAAAGCGUCCGUAGUCGGUUUGAUAAAUUUCUUGUGAAAUUGAAGAGCUCAACUCUUCAGCGUGCAGGAAAGACUGUCUUACUUGAGACCGGGAGGAGUCAGAGGUAUUCUGGGGGGAGCGGUAAAAUGUUAUAAUCCUCGGAGGACCACCUGUGGCGAAGGCGUCUGACUAGAACGGUUCUGACGAUGAGGGACGAAGGCUAGGGGAGCAAACCGGAUUAGAUACCCCGGUAGU
rnacentral:rRNA from 1 species